rnacentral:rRNA from 1 species
GUGUCAGCAGCCGCGGUAAUACGUAGGUGACAAGCGUUGUCCGGAUUUACUGGGCGUAAAGAGCGCGCAGGCGGUCGUUCAAGUCGAGUGUGAAAGCCCCCGGCUCAACUGGGGAGGGUCACUCGAUACUGAUCGACUCGAAGGCAGGAGAGGGAAGUGGAAUUCCCGCCGUAGUGGUGAGAUGCGUAGAUAUCGGGAGGAACACCAGUGGCGAAGGCGGCGAUCUGGGCAGAUACUGACGCUGAUGUGCGAAAGCGUGGGGAGCAAACAGGAUUAGAAACCCUUGUAGUCC